rnacentral:rRNA from 1 species
GACAGAGGGGGCAAGCGUUGCUCGGAAUUACUGGGCGUAAAGGGCGCGUAGGCGGGAUGGCAAGUCGGUCGUGAAAUCCCCGGGCUUAACCUGGGAAUUGCGCUUGAAACUAGCGGGCUUGAGUGUGGCAGAGGGGGGUGGAAUUCCACGUGUAGCAGUGAAAUGCGUAGAGAUGUGGAGGAACACCGAUGGCGAAGGCAGCCCCCUGGGUCAACACUGACGCUCAUGCACGAAAGCGUGGGGAGCAAACAGG